AGUGAACGCUGGCGGUAGGCCUAACACAUGCAAGUCGAACGGCAGCACAGUAAGAGCUCGCUCUUACGGGUGGCGAGUGGCGGACGGGUGAGGAAUACAUCGGCAUCUACUUUUUCGUGGGGGAUAACGUAGGGAAACUUACGCUAAUACCGCAUACGACCUACGGGUGAAAUCAGGGGAUCUUCGGACCUUGCGCGAUUCAAUGAGCCGAUGUCGGAUUAGCUAGUUGGCAGGGUAAAGGCCUACCAAGGCGACGAUCCGUAGCUGAUCUGAGAGGAUGAUCAGCCACACUGGAACUGAGACACGGUCCAGACUCCUACGGGAGGCAGCAGUAGGGAAUAUUGGACAAUGGGCGAAAGCCUGACCCAGCCAUACCGCGUGAGUGAAGAAGGCCUUCGGAUUGUAAAACCCUUUUGUUGGGGAAGAAAAGCAGCAUAUUAAAACCCCGCUGUUCUGACGGUACCCAAAGAGUAAGCACCGGCUAACUUCGUG
rnacentral:rRNA from 1 species